ACAGUGAGAGUGGCCUGGGAGUGUGAUGAUGGCUUGGGUAGCGUGAGGGUGGCCCGUACCGCCACCAGCGCCAUCUUCCACCUCUUCCUCGAUCGCUGUGCCUGUGUUUGCGCGGCAUCCUGCCUUCAUCACCCAUUAUCACCCACCAUCGUUGUGUGUCCGUCCAUCCGUUACUACACAGCGUCGCCCAGCACCUCGACAACGCAUCGCAGGCAAGUUUACAGCUACUACUACUGCUACUACUAUUACUACUACUACUACUACUACUACUACUACUACUACCACAGCCACAACAACAACAACAACAAUUACAGCAGCAGCAGCAGCAGCAGCAGCAGCAGCAGCACCACCACACCACCACCAACAACAACAACAACAACAACAACAACAACAACAACAACAACAACAACAACAACAACAACAACAACAACAACAUAGCCAAUUCAUAAGCGUUGUACACGGCAUUAGUCGAACAGUCGUCAUUUCAGUGUUCAUCCACAAAAGUCUGGUUACCAUUACUCCAGGUGGUCCUCCCAUCACCUGUAAUGUCCCGUCAUGUGUACCUGUAGCGGUGUGAUGGCGGGAAUUGUUCUUCCAUCUGAGGGGUUCAAUAACUGUGGGCUUUAGCAGCGGCUUUCUAAUAUAAACACUAAUAAAUGUGACGGUUGUUGGUGUGAAUGGUGCACAGUUACAAUUCGUCACUAAUAAUAUUUCAUUGCAGGGCCUUUAGUGCAAUUGGUCUGGAAAAAAAUUGGUCUCAUUGGUGCGUUAAAAUGAGUAAUGUUUGUAUUAAUGGUGUGUUUUAUUUAUUAAUCUGUUUAUUUAUUUUGGCUUUUUAUAUUUGUUGAUUGCUUUUUUUUCAUCUUAAGCAUGUAGUGUCAUGUUAGUGUUGCUUAUAGUACUAAUGUGAGUUUAAUGUAUUUGUGUACUUCUCUUGAACUUCCAACCUGUCUAUUCAUUAAUUUUUAUUCAUGUAAUUUGUGAAUGUAUACAUUUGGUCAUUUAGUUAUUCAUGUAUUUGUUUAUUAAUAAUUUAACCAUUUAUUAAUUAGUUUAUCGAUUGAUUGAUUCAGUUUAUUAAUCUGUGUACUUAGUUACUUAGUUAUGUAUUUAUUUUUUUGGUCCUUUGUUUUCGGUCUGUAGCAUCUGUAGACCAACACCUGCAGGCUUAGAUGGUCACCCUUUAGGACCCCUUGACUCAUCUUCACACUACCGUCCCCAGAACUCAUCAUCAGCAUGUGUCCGUAACAGUAACCAGCACUUGCUCAUGUUAAUAUAUAGCUGUAAUGUAUUUCCCUAUAACUAGUGUGCUGAAACUCGCUUUUGCACAUUGCAUAAAACUCCUCUGACAUUU